CGCGCUCUUUACGACGCGCUUUUCUGUAAUUAAACAAAUGGGAAAAGGAAACAUGUAAUUAGUAAGCAAAGCGAUAACGUAAAAUCACAAAGUUGCGAAUAUCAAAGAACAAGCUGACAACUGCUGCGCCAACAUUUUUGUGUAACGCUGCAACAACUGCACACACAGAGGAGUAUAUGAUAAACGCACGCCAGACACUUACAUACAAUAACUUUUGGCCUAAGGAUACUGGACAAAAAAACAACAAAUGACACGUGUUUAACGAAAAUGUCAAUUAAUGCGAAUUAUUAGCUGAUAAAGUGGAAAUGAAUUAAAUUGAAUAGAAAUGUUGAUGUUUUUCGACGAGUUGAAGCGAUAACAUUUAUGCCUGAUAACUAAUUACAAAAUUUUAGUAUAUACAUAUUUAUUAUAAGACACACACAAAGCAACAUUUAACAUAUGGAGAAUAAGCAAUAAAAUCGCUUCAAAAUGACUUCAUCUAUAUAUGUAUGUAUUUAUUUACGCUGAGAAAGUGUGUCAAUAUUUGCCAAAAUAAAUCAGCACAGCAAUGAUUUUUCCAUUAAAUUGUAUUUUUCUUGAACUCAGCAAAUAAUAAAUUAAAUAAGCUUUAAACACACACAUCGCCACACAAUUUCAUUUACAUACAUACAUACAUACAUAUACAUGUAUUGAGUGUGUGUGUGUGUAAGCAUUUGAUUUUCAAUUAGCAAACUGGCGUUGAAGUUGCGCUAAAAUCAUUGUUUCAAUUAAAAAAGCAACUGUCAGCGGAAUAGUAAAUAAACAACGAGCAACAAUAAUGCGUGUAAACAACUGCAAAGCUUGCAGCUCUUUAUUGCCCGCAAAAAAAAUAAAAAUUGGAGAAAUCAAAAACGAUUUAAGAAUAAAUGUUUAUAUUUACUUUUGCCUGCGGGAUUAUUUACAUACAUAUGUAUAUAUUUAUAUGUAUGUAUGCUUAUUUGUGUGUGUGAAUUUGCAAAUGGCAAGAUGUCAAUUCACAGAUAUGCGCUAAAUGGCCAAAUAUUUUCCAGUUAUAUAAAAAUACGAAUGUACAUAUGAGUUUAUAAAAAAAAGUUGAUGAGAAAUAGUUGUGGCAGCAAAUUUUAAAAGAAACUGUGGAAAGAUUUUGAUAAAAAAUAGGUCGCAUGUGCACACACUGUGGUUGCCAGAUAAUUAGCAAGAAUUUUGUUUUGCAAGUUUCAACUAUUUAGUCUUAUUUGUUGCGUUUAGUUAAUUUUUUAAUACAAAAUAUAACUUUGUACAAAAAAACUUAUACUGAAAAUGUUAAACUUUUUAUUCAAAAAU